rnacentral:rRNA from 1 species
GACGAACGCUGGCGGCGUGCUUAACACAUGCAAGUCGUACGGUAAGGCCCUUUCGGGGGUACACGAGUGGCGAACGGGUGAGUAACACGUGCGUAACCUGCCCACAACUUUGGGAUAACGCUAGGAAACUGGUGCUAAUACUGGAUAUGUGCUCCUGCUGCAUGGUGGGGGUUGGAAAGCUCCGGCGGUUGUGGAUGGACUCGCGGCCUAUCAGCUUGUUGGUGGGGUAGUGGCCUACCAAGGCGGCGACGGGUAGCCGGCCUGAGAGGGUGACCGGCCACAUUGGGACUGAGAUACGGCCCAGACGCCUACGGGAGGCAGAAGUGGGGAAUAUUGCACAAUGGGCGCAAGCCUGAUGCAGCAACGCCGCGUGCGGGAUGACGGCCUUCGGGUUGUAAACCGCUUUCAGCAGGGACGAAGCUUUUUGUGACGGUACCUGCAGAAGAAGCACCGGCUAACUACGUG